UACGAAGGGGACUAGCGUUGUUCGGAUUUACUGGGCGUAAAGCGCGCGUAGGCGGAUCGCUAAGUCAGGGGUGAAAUCCCAGGGCUCAACCCUGGAACUGCCUUUGAUACUGACGGUCUGGAGAUCGGGAGAGGUUGGUGGAAUUCCGAGUGUAGAGGUGAAAUUCGUAGAUAUUCGGAGGAACACCAGAAGCGAAGGCGGCUCACUGGACCGGUAUUGACGCUGAGGUGCGAAAGCGUGGGGAGCAAACAGG
rnacentral:rRNA from 1 species